AGGACGAACGCUGGCGGCGUGCUUAACACAUGCAAGUCGAGCGGAAAGGCCCUUCGGGGUACUCGAGCGGCGAACGGGUGAGUAACACGUGAGUAACCUGCCCCUAGCUCUGGGAUAGCUCCGGGAAACCGGGAUUAAAUACCAGAUACGACCACUUUAGACAUCUGUCGUGGUGGAAAGGAUUCCGGCUAGGGAUGGGCUCGCGGCCUAUCAGCUUGUUGGUGGGUAACGCUACCAAGGCGACGACGGUA
rnacentral:rRNA from 1 species